rnacentral:lncRNA from 1 species
CGGCUGCGUCGUCGCCUCACAGGUCGUGAAAUGGCGCCGGGGGCCCAGCCGGCCACGGCCCCUUGAGUUCCUUGUUUUUGUUUUUGUUUCUCUGCUUGUGUUUUAAUGAAGCUCACGGAUUUGAGUAGAAACAGAUUUCUCACAAACUUGCUUCUCUCCGGCUCGAUUUCACAGCUCGGCAUACAUUUGGGCUGUCUCAGGCUUGACAGCGUUCCAGGGAAAAUACUAACUGUAAACUUUGCAAGGAGAAUUAAAGGAGCAGGCAGAAAUGUCAGGAGGGUGUCCUCCCUUCACAAAGCACAGGCAUCUGCACCGAAGGCUUCCAAAGGAACAACAGCCAACAAAUGAGCACAUCUGAUUGGCCAGGCCUGCCUAUGGCAAUAUCAGAAAGCACCAGGCCACUAGCCACUGACCACUGGGGUAUUCCUACCCCUUCAGGAAAGGCUACGUUCUUUAAUACAAGACCAGAAGACUUGCUGGUGGUUUCCCAUGUGUUCCUCCAGAGCAAGCAGCCCAAAUAAUCCUAAACCAUGCUCUUAACUCUUACCACUCCAGCAAAACAAGUGGAUGCUUCUUCAAGUUACCCAGCCUCUGAGUAACCAGGCCUAAUCCAGGUGCUCUUGUGCAUCCCUCUUUUUUGUGAUGGAGCACCACCUCUCAAGUAAUGGGCAACACUCGGCAUCUCAGCUGACCUUCGUGACUUUUAAAGCAUCCCUGCCUGCUUGAUGAUCUAGGAGACGUGGGCAGAGCAAAUAACCAUGGACCCACAGAAGAUAGAUGAGCUUUGGUGAGGUGCGGUACACCAGCUCAUACUGAAGGAAGAGAUGAAUGGCGCCUAGAGAGCUGAUUUACUGUCUGAAGAUAAAGUCUCCUAUAGAUCUUCAUUAAGAUAAUGCUAACUUCCCAAGGUUGAUUUGCAAGAGUGGCUGCUGCAUGGGACAAAA